rnacentral:rRNA from 1 species
CAGUGAGGAAUAUUGGUCAAUAGCCUAAUCGGCUGAACCAGCAACUUGGAGGAAUGUACAGGGAAAACUGGUAAAAUGUGAUGUACCUGAUAGUAUUAGUGAUUAAUAUGAAAUUAACUAAGUUAAUUAAAAUUCAAAGUAGAUAUGUGAUUAUGACAAUAUUUGCUUAUUUCUUGACCAAGUCACGUGCCAGCAGUCGCGGUAAUACGUGGAAGAUAAGUGUUAUUCAUCUUUAAUAGGUUUAAAGGGUACCUAGACGGUUAAUUAAGCAUAUAAGUGUACUAAUUAUUAACUAGAGUUUAAUGUAAGAAGGAUUGAGUACGGUGAGUGAAGAGAUAAAAUUCUGUCAUACCACUUAGGAACUGGUAAAGGCGAAGGCAACCUUUUAUGUAAAAACUGACGUUGAGGGACGAAGGCUCGUAUUAAGUAAUAGGAUUAGAGACCCUAGUAUUGUGGGCAGACAAUGAUGAGUGUCAUAUGCAAGAAAUAUUUUUGUGUAUAAAUGAAAGUGUAAGCAUUCCACCUCAAGAGUAACAUGGCAACAUGGGAACUGAAAUCAUUAGACCGUUUCUGAAACUCGUAGUGAAGUAUGUUGUUUAAUUUGAUAAUCCUCAAAUAACCUUACCACAAUUUGUAUUACUAGUAUUAGUAUUAGUAACAAGCGUUGCACGGCUGUCUUCAGUCAAUGUUGUGAAACUUUGGUUAGAUCCAUUAAAUUGACGUAAACCCUUGCUUUAUUUGUUAUAGAGCAGUUCGCCGCUAUAUUGGUAAUGAUAUAAGGACCAAGACAAGUCAUCAUGACCUGAACAUUGUGGGCUAUAGACGUGCCACAUCUUUUU